rnacentral:rRNA from 1 species
AUGAUGUUUAGCAGAAUUAAACCACCCCAAGAGCCGUCCGAUUUAGACGCUCACAGCCGCAGGAUGAGGCAGCUCCUCCAUGGCAGCAACACCACACAGAAGCUCCCCUUGGCAGCCCCGCGCAACACCGCCGGUGCCCGCCAUCGCUCCAUUGCAGCUCCGUCGGUGCUUCAUUGCAAUGCCGACGAAGCUUCAACGGCCCUCCGGCACUUCAAUGCAACUCCGACGACGCUUCAUUGCAGCUCCGGCGAUGCUUCAACGACCCCACGUGCUUCACUGCAGCUCCGGCGGCCCCCCGGCGAUGCUUCAUCGCAACACCGGCGAGCCCCCUCUGCUUCACCGGCUGUUGCAGCCCUGCAUCGUCGAGCGGUUGAGCUUGUUGAUGUUUUGCACCUCCUCCUCGGCCUCCCUAUUGCGGCAAGUGCGGCGAGAGGCUCCGCCUUGAGACACCAUCAACGGCUGCAGCACCUCGCUGGACCCCUCGCAUCGCCGCCCACACCAUGA